rnacentral:lncRNA from 1 species
CAACAUAAUAACUAAAUUUAUCUCAACAACAAUUUCCAACAAUUUCCAAUAAUGAUCUUUAUCUUGACUUGAUACUGACCAUGCUUUACUUCAUAUACAACUCCCGAAUUUUUCUCCUUGCUGUUCAUCUUCCAAGAGAACCUUUUCGACGCCUAAAGAGUUAGCUCAAACAUCUACAAAGGAUAAUAUAUAUAUGGGAUGAGUACGAAUGGUACUCAACAAGUCCAACUAUAGCAAUCCAACAAAUACAUGCCCAUAAUCCACUUGCAUAAUACAUAUAUCUCCAAAUCCCAUAAUCCAACAAGGAAUUUUAUGCAUGUUCAUAAAACAGUGUAGUAAAAGCUCAUAUUAAGUAAUUAUAAAAUCUACUGCAUAUAAAGCACCACAGGUAUUAGAACCUCCGAUAGGUUCCUUUCCUGCCGCGUUCACGGUUUCUAUCCGAAACAGGGAGUGACAUAUCACAAUUCGUACACUCUGCAGAGGUGUGUCGCUGUACCCACAGAUGCCUUAAACCUUUUAAUGCCCACGCCCGUCGGCGCUUGAAGCACACUUCAUGGUGUAUGCCGGCAAGGCUAAGGUCACAAGCUUUUCAUCAAUCCCAUUUGGCAAUUAUCUCUGCGGGUGAUUCCCGCAACAACGGCGAAUCAUCGGAUCCCACAACAACGGCGAUCCACAUCAUCUAAUCGGAUUCCGCAACAACGGCAACCCUCAUCGCUAGCCCACGCUCACGGGAUUCGCGGAAGUCCUUAAGUCCGCAGGAUAAAGCCAUUAAGAAAGAACUACUAAGCCAGCCUGUCCCAUUCCAGGUCAUAUGGUCGACACGAUCGCUACGGCGCUUGAAUGUUAUAUAACAGUUGUUGUUUAACCUUAUGAUGAUAAAUAUAUGCAACUGAACCCCCACCAUCAUGGCAAGUUCAGAAUACAUCUAUAGUAUGACCGACUGCUCCACCAGUCAAUCCAAUCCAUCAGCAUAUUUAUUUUAAUCAUAGAAAUUAUAAUUUAAUGCAAUGUGAUACAUAUAGAUUGCAAUUACAAAAAUAUAACAAGAGAUGUUCAAAGAUGUUGGACUUGCCUGAGAUACCCACAAUCGAAGAACGAAUAAAUCAUUGAAGAACUCCAAGAAAUCCAAGAUAAAUAUCCAACUGUAAAAAUAUGACGAAUUAAAACUAAAACCAAGAAUGUAGAUAUUAGUAUGAUGCACAUGAUAUGUCUAACCUUAAUAUCAUAGCUGAUCUACAACACUAUAGGUUAUUGACUCUCACCUCAAGACUCAACUAGAUGAACCAUAUAUAUUUUUAAGUUAAAUAUAGUUAAAUAUAUUUGUAUGUUUUGAUUCGGUAAAGAUCUAUGAUUUAUAUAACAAAAUUGGACUAAAGUAUAUAGUGUUAAAACAAACAUCAUUACACUUUUAUUUUUAAGAGAGUAAUUAUUUAAAUUGAAAGAAGUUUUACCUUAUUUGAGAGAGAUUUAUAUUCAAUAAUCAAUAAUAAUUAAAUUCAAUAAUACACCUAUAUACAGCCCACAUGUAAAAGCCCACUACACCACCUUCUUCAUCUUAUCUCUUUUUCCUCGUUCUCCCCUUCUCUCCCUCACGGCUCACGCUCUCCCAGUGCCGCCGCUUCUUAGGCAGCGCCGGCGACGCCGCCGCUCUCCCUAGCGCCGGCUACCGCGCCCCACUCCGGCGACCCCUCAAGCAGAUGUCCCGCAGCCGCGAAUCGGUUUAUUGGCUCCACGCUUCUCUGCCCCUAAGCUAACCCCAGCCACCAGUCUCCUGCUGCUGCUGCCGCCGUGGAGAUGGCUGGUGGAAACACAGCGCAACUCCGGUGGCUGCAUCCCUUUCCCCCAUAGGUGAGCUACCUAUUCCAUCCUCCCAUAUCUGAUUCCUAUUGUGAUGUACUAGUGUGGUGCCCUCUCUUGUAUGGUGUUGUUAUGUAAACUGUGAUGUACUGGUGAUGUUUGUGAACUUGUCCUAAUGAAUACUUAGGGUUGUAUUUACUGGAUCUAGGGUUCUUGAGAAAUUGGCUUGCUAAGAUGGAUGAUGCCUAUAUGUUCAUGAUGAAUGAAUGCUGACAUGAAUAGGCCUAUGAAUUGCAUUACUGAAAUUUAAAUCACACUAACAUCAUUGGUCCUUAUAUAUGCAUACAUGUUUAAUUGACUGAAUCUUCUGAAGUUAGUGACAUACUAGCAGGAUCAGAUCUUUAACUAAAAUCUUAUUUAAUGAUGAAGCAAUUUACAUGGUUCCACACUUGGAAUAUCAUGGGAAGGUCUGGACUAUAACUAAUUAAAUUAUCACCUAUGAAACAUUAUCAUGAAUACAAAUUGAUGGCAAUUUAUUCCUCUAUAUGCUCUACUGCUACUGCCUCUUGUGUUCUGUUUAUCAUCUCCAUAUGCUGUAGUGAUUAAUAACCCAAUUUAUAAAUUACUUUAUUACAAUGGUUGAUGAGGACAGUAAUUAAACUAUUGGUAAACUAAUUAUAUAUAUGCAACUUAUCCAGAUGCUAUGUUCUAAAUCUAAACAGUUGCUAUAGACUAUAUACUAUAGAAAUCUAUGGUUUUCUACUCAUAAUCUUAUCACCCCAAUUUGAUUCUUUUUACUGGAACACACUACUCAUCUUCUAUAUCUGUAUAUGCACAUGUCAAUGUUAUGCCCUGUUUACAUGACUAGAAUCUGAAAGCUUAUAAGUUCACAUGCAUGAUUUGGUUCUUCUAUACAUGCUCUAUUCCUAAAUAAUUUAUGUCAUGAACACCAGUUGAUUUUAUUCAAGAAUUAUAGCUACAUACGCUUAUUGUUACUAUUCAGAUUUCUUCUAUGAUAAUUUAUAUAUGUCAGGAUUUAAAGACAUGCAUUUAUCUUUAACUUUAUCCCAAAAUUUUGUUACUUUUAUUCAUUUAGUAUUGCCAAGGUUUUUGUCAAGAUGGAUGGUAUAUAUAUAUCUGCAUGAAACUCUAGCUCUAACAAAUGCUGUUAAUAUGUAUGCAGGAUCUACUCUCCUCCCCUAUUUUAAUUUUUUGGUUACCUCGGUUGAUUCUACCGUGAUUGAAAAAUGUGUGGUUCAGCUCCUCCUCCAGAACUCCAAGUCUUCUCUUCUACUGCUGCUCUUCUGGAUCUAAGGUGAUUUUGCUAGAACUGAGCUUCUCCACCUUGAGCUUGACUGAUUGUUUCCCCCCUCUUGAACUGAACCCCCAUGCUCUACUUGGAACUCAGGUAAUUCUCCUCCUUGGCUCUUGCUCUACUGGUAAUAUUUGACUGCUUCCUGACAUCUUCCUUGAUCUGCUUCUGGUGAUUCUCUUCCUCCUCUUCAGACUGAUCCUCUUGCUUGAUUUUCGCUCCAUCUUGCUUCUUGACCUGAGUUUCAUCUCUUCCUAGAGCUGAAACCCUUCUUCAUCCAAGAACUAAACAACCCUGCUUCUCCUUCAGAUUUGGUUUUCCUCUCUCUGAUUACUUGGCCAUGGUUACUACUACUGUUGGUUCAUGUAUUGGUUUGAGCUGGACUUCAGUUGAGCUAUUUCUCUCUGGGUGGAGCUAACACUUAAGCUAAUUUUUCCUGGAGCUUGGUUCUAUGGUUGUAACUACUACUGCCGCAGCUGCUGCUUGUUUUGGUUUGCACGACCAACCCGAGACUUGGGUUGGAAAUGAUUCACA